AGAGGCAGUUAACACCAUCUAGAGGACCUGGUUGUCUUUCAUUUGGCUUUGCAGCUGUCCUCAUGGAAUUUAUUGAAUGGUGAAUUUUGAAUGAACAUUUGCAGUUGCCAUCUCGGAGCCUCCUCAGGAAGCUCCCAUCGUGUUGAUCGUUCAGUGUUCCUGCUUCCACAGAAAUGGCUGCAGAGACAUACCAUUGGGUUUAAUUCUGAGUGUAUAUCCUGUCAUCUUUUUAGAAUCUUCAUUUACAUCAAACAUUUGAUACUUUCAUUCCAUGUACCUCAGAAGAAUCUGACCCCACAAGUCUCGGUGUGAAAGCCUGAUUGGCUUAAGCUAAUUAGCACAUUUGAAACUGGACAGAAAUGAACAAGUGACAUAAAUGGAUAGUUGGAAGGAGGCAGGGAUAAAAAGAUCUCUUGGAGUGCUGAAACAUAAGAGUUUUUUCUUAUCCUAUGCAAAUUGUGAUAUGCUGUUGUGGAGCCCAGAACUGCAGCUACCUUGCUAUUAAGCUGAGGACAAAGAGAGGAUUGACCAACGUCAAAUGAUUUUAAGAAAACAAAGUAAAAGUUGUUGGCAUAAGCCAAACCUGAAACCUCACUUACAAUUUCACUGCUAGCUAUAUGAGGAAAUAAAAUUCUUUAUUUUUUUAGGACAGUUUAAGUUGUGUUUUCUUUCAUUG